CUCUCGCACUCUCUGACUCCCCGUCAGCCCUCUGUCGACUCACGCCGGCUACGUGCACCCCAACUUCAGCUCCAACAGGAGAGGACGCGGAGUGCAGCGUGGCGGCUGAUAAAUAAUAAAUAAUAAUAAUCUACCGAGGGCAGCGGGAGGACCGUCCGCGCCAGGGCGCGAGGACGCCAGGGAAGUGGCCCUGGAGUGAGGGCAGCUGUGUUCCCUGCAAGAAGCAGCAGUCGGAGGACCGAGGGCGCCUGGAGCCUGAAUGCAAAUAAGGAUUUCCAGAGUCUGGAGCCAAGUUCUUCUACUGCGGUGGGGCUCCACCCAGCUGGGAGCUGUUGGGUUUGGACACAGCCGCUUAGAAAGGGUCUGCUCAGGUCCCGACAUGAGCUCCGCUUCGUGUGGAAUGUUGUGGCUGGGUCACCGGCUCCUUUCCCCGAGGCGACAUAGGCUGGGUCUGCAGUGUGCUUUGCAAGGGAUCACCUCUCUCUGCAUAGACCUUGCCGGUGUGUGGGACUGUGCUGGGUUGUGUGCUGCCCUGCUCUGUGCCUCAUGGGAUGCGCUCCAUGGUCAGCCUGCAUCUGUGUGUUACGUGGAACGGCUGAGCGUUGCAUGUGGGAACCUCUUCAGCCCUCAUUCAAGAUUUCUGCAUGACACACCGGUCAGCUCUGUGGGGUGUGCUUUUGGAGAUCCCAUGCUUCAGAAGCCUGCCCUCCCUAUUUGACAGAAAUGCCCCUAGCUGGGCUCUGGAGUCUGAACUGAUGUGCACGCUUCAAGCAAGUGGGUUGUGAAGAAGUGGACUUGCAAUACACAGAGAAGCUGACUGGAAUGGUCUGGAACAUUCACUCCUGCUCAGAGGAUAGCCCAUUAUUUGUGCAGUCAACGAGACAAGGACUUUGUGCUGGAAUGACUACUAUUGUCACCUAGAGAGGCACCAGCGGAAGCCACCUCAGGACUGCCUGUGUGAGGCAGUGCUACAUAAGCUGGACUCUCUAUUUGUAUUUACAAUAAUAACCAGAACAACAUGAUCAUUUACUACACAUUGUAGAAAAUGGCUACUGUAUACCAGGCAUUGUUCCCGUGACAUCCUGUCCAUCAUCACAGCAACCUGGGGAAUUAUAUUAUCAGCCUCAAAAGCUAAGUCGCAGAGAGGAUAGGUGAUUCCUGGCCGUCACACAGCCCUAAGUGGCAAAGCUGGCGUUUGAGCCUGGUUGGCUGGUUCCAAAGCCUUGGUUCUUUUCACGGCACUCGACACAUGGAAACAAUUUCUUUUGUCAUUAACCCAGUGGUUUUCCCUUCAAGGGAUACAGUGGAUGCUGAUUUUGCCUUUAUCAGCAGCCAGUCCUGGACCCAGAACUGGAAAUAGGUUUAAGAUACACAGAAUGAGGCAGAAGAGGGGCAAGCGUCUCUUUGAUCACUGAAUGAAGCUCACUUGGAAGAGUGGAUGCCUCGGAAGCCCUCCGGUCUGAGAGGACAUCUGUUUUCAGGGGAGCAGUGGGUGAGCAGGAGCCAGCUUUUCUGCUGAGUCCUUACAAAAAAAAGUAUGGAAAAUGAUGAGUCCUGAGUGUAAACUUGGGAUGCAGACACACAGAGGAGGGGUGGCUGCUCCGUCACCACCACGAAAUCCUGGAUGACCCAUCGAUUGGCAGCGGCCUCGUUCUAGUCUCACAUCCAAACCAGAAUGGCGGUCGAAUGUCGUAUCUUGCCUUUUCAAUACCUGCGCGUAUCCCUCCCA